GGCCAAGUUUUUUGUCCCAUGAAAGUUCUUUAUGCCGAGCAAUUCACAUAGUGAGCAACCUGAAAGCAAAGGGAAAGAUAUUUCACUUGCUCACCAAGUAUCUGCACUGGGAUGAGGAGCCUCCAGGAAACAUCCACAAUGCUAUCACCAGCACCCUGAAGUCUUUUCUGGAAGACAGCAGUCUGAGGUUCCUGGAGAACAGCUGGUAUGGUUAUGAUCUCUGCCCUGCUACCUGGAACUACAUCUUCAGCCUGGAUCUUCUGUGUGCACAACUGGGCUGGACUUGGACCAUUACCAAUAUUAUACGGAAGGAUCUUUGGCUGAUCCUGAACACUUGGCUGAGGCAAGCAAGAACAGAGCAAACACCGUUCCGAGACGUCUGUGUAGCAGCAGUUUUCAGGCUACUUGGGCGACUUGGUCAACUAGGACUUAAGGAGAACAUGCUAA